AUAGCUGGGAGCGAUGCUUGCUAGAUCGCCAAUCGAUGGAAGGACGGCAGCGCUGGCACCAAUGUAUAUGCAUUUCAGUUGCCAGGGAGGAGCAAAAUCUUGGAGCGAUGGUGCAGCAAUCUCAUCGUCGCAGUGCAAAAUGAAACGAAGUAAGUUCAUCGCCACGGCCGCUCUGGACAAUGGACAAUGAACAAGGCGCAUUGGCAUUUCUCUCCCAGCUCUAGUUUGCAAAGAAGAAAAUCGCGAUCUUAGCUCAUUCCUUUGUUUGCAAGGUCUUGGAUCCACGGGCAACUCACGAGUGCUGGGCUUACAAGGUGGUUCAUUUAUUUCGCCUUCUUUGCUUGAAUGUUUCAUUUUAUUCCAGCUUAGAUCAAAGAACGCUAUCGUUUUAGCGAUGGUGGAGAGCCUGGAGGAACGGCAGGACGGCCAAUCUAGGCUGCCAGAGGAAAUUCUGGUGUGGAUGGAGUUAUGGUCGUUGUGACGAGGUACCUAUCAUCGUUUUUCCAAACGAAAGAACAAAAACUAAUUGGAAAUCCAGGUACUUUGGUGGAACGAAGCUUUCGUUGGAGCUUAUGGAGGAAUCGCUGCUGACUGCCUCAAAGACGCACCGACGCACAUUGCCAAAGCAAAGGUUUUCUUAUGUAGUUUGGUGUUGUCUACUGACUUGCAUCGAGUGUGUAGAUCUACCUGGUUCUCAAGCCUGGCUUUGAUCAUCUUGGAGAUGUGUACCCUCUCCUAAGCAUUGGUGUUAUUAGUUUCGAUCUUUAUGUCUUGAUGGGCAACGAAUCCAGCUUCAGCUUCAGCUUGCACAAGUGUGGCAUCAAAAGAGGAGGCUGUGCGGCUUUCGGGGAAACGUGAAGGAAAAGUUCGGUCCCUGGAGAGAGGAAUGGCUAUACACGCCGAAGCUGCUAAAGGUGGUGUCGAGUUGGAGUAUUUCGUCGCAAACACGCUGGUGGAUUUCUACGUCAAAUGUGAGAGCUCGGCAGACGCUCGCAGAGUUUUUGACAAGAUGCCACUGCACGAUGUCGUGUCCUGGACGGCGCUGGUGGUGGGCUACGCUGGAAACGGUGAAGGCCAGGCGGCCUUGGGUCUCUUAGAGGACAUGCAACGUCGAGGCUGUACACCGAAUGCUUAAGCUCACUACUUUGAGUGCAUUGUUAGAGGGACAAGAAAGCAAACGAGAAGAAAUCCUGGCGAUCUGUCUCCAGUAAGUGACGAUGAUCUUUUUUCUUUCAUUCUUUUUUGCUGAUGCCUGUGUUUGGUUUCAGUGGUGUUUCCCCGACAAAAAAGGUAGCAGCUACCUCUAGAGAUGUUUUGCAAGAGAGGAGCGAGAAGAUGGACGUCUCUCCAAAGCAAAGCUUUGAGAAACGAGAUGGCGAUUCCUCUCGGUGCAACGACGGCUGAAAUGGUUGAAGUGGCUGACAGAGAAUUACCGCCCUUUCAGCACAGUGCGAAGAAGCUACCAUGCACUCCUCCUGCAAGAGCUGGAAAUGGCGGCGAUCCCACUCCGAACUGGCUACUCGACAGCAAGUAUGUAUCACCAGGAGAUAGCUUCUGGGACGAGGCAAUACGCGUCCUUGGGAGCAAGAAGGGUGACUGCUCGGAAGUUAAGUCGCGUAUCAACCCUGACGGCCCGAAUUUAUUGAACUCUCCGCUACCAGUCGUGUGCUUCGACUUUGCGAGUCAUGACAACGUUGGCAAAGAAGCUGCUGCAGCUCCCACUGAAGAAGGAAAGGCAAUCGUGAACGAUCCGUCGUCCUCAGUCUCCGGUGAGAAGCUGUCCGAUUGGCUUCCGGCUGAAUUAUGUGAAGGAUACUUUCGGAAAGGGGUUAGAAGACUGUAUCAAUGGCAGGUAAGCCAACUGUUUGUGAUUUUAGUGCCUACUUACAAGAAACUACAGGUUGAUUGUCUACGCCUUGAUGGAGUUUUGGAUGGUAAAAGUCUUGUUUACUGUGCCUCGACAAGGUGCUUGAGAUUUCUUAUGGUAAUCCUUAAAACUUUUUGACAGUGCAGGAAAGAGUCUUGUUGCAGAAAUUUUGAUGUUAAAAAGAGUGCUGGCGACAGGAAAAAUGGCAAUGCUGGUUUUACCAUAUGUCGCGUUGUGUUCUGAGAAGGUAUGCUUGGUUUUGUUUUGUCAAAACGUCAACUGGUUUUUGCUUUGCUAGACAGAGCAUUUAGAGGCGGUACUGGAACAUGUUGUGUCCGUGGAUAUUUUGGGACUCACGGGAGUAAAACGCUAUCUCCAGAUACUUCACUUGCAGUUCAUACCAUCAAAAAGCGAACUCACUCAUCAAUAUGCUGGUAGAGGACGGGCAGCUGUCCGAACUAGCAGUCGUAGUUAUAGAUGAGGUUCAUAUGGUAUGUAUACUGACAUCCCAAUAUCCUUCUUAUAACAGUCUGGUGCAGGUUGGAGAUAAAGAGAGAGGUUAUUUGCUAGAACUAAGCUACGACAUGGGGCCAGUAAAGGUGACUAUGAAAGCAGCAGCCCCACGAGGUUGCAAAUUAUAGGAACGAGUGCAGCGAUGCCUAAUGUAGCAGCUGUUGCAUCAUGGCUUCAGGUAUUGCAAUCUUUUAUUCAAGUCUUACAGACCAUGAUGAUAAUUUGCAGGCUGCAUUUUAUGAGACUAACUUUCGCCCGGUUCCUUUAGACGAACACAUUAAAGUCAUUUACGAUACUAGUGUUCGUGCUCUAAGAGCAGGCUCUGAACUUAGCGGCAAGGAUCCAGAUCACAUCGUCCAUCUGUGGCAUGAGGUUACUUUUGUGUUUUGACAAAGACCUUUCAUAGGUCUUACUGAUUUCAGUUUGUGCCCUUUGUUGUCUAGGUGGUUAGUAAGGCCAUUCUGUGCUUUUGUUUUGUUCAAGUCGUCAUGCCUGCGAAACCACUGGCCGACGAGAUACAGGCAAAUGGCUGGGAGAGCAGGAAGAGCAGGGAUAGACACGCAUGGCGAGAGUGUAAGACUUGUCUCGUUUAUGUAUUCUGAAAUUUGCCGAAUGUUGGUUUUGCAGAUAUUAAUCUGUAAAAGUGAGGAGCUUCCCAUUCUGAAAGAAGGUUGUCAACCGUUGCAGUCAUAUCUCGCCGAGGAAAAGAAUGGAAUGAUGAGAGCUCGUUUUGGAGGUGGGCACAGGAUGUCAACCGCUCUGCACCCUUCUCAACUCUACACAGCCUUUUGAUGACGUCGUGAAGUCUGCUCAAGAUUCUUUGCUGUGCCACAAGCGACUGAUAGAGUGCGAUCAGGAGUUACAGAUCUACAAAAUCAGUCCAUUAGGAAAAGCAGCGUUUGGCAGUUCGCUCGGCCCGGAAGAAUGCUUGGUACGUUCUCGCUCGUUUUUGCUGGCAAUGACGAAUUUUAAUUAUGCGGAUGCANNNNNNNNNNNNNNNNNNNNNNNNNNNNNNNNNNNNNNNNNNNNNNNNNNNNNNNNNNNNNNNNNNNNNNNNNNNNNNNNNNNNNNNNNNNNNNNNNNNNAUCUUGCUAAAGCCCCUGAUAGUUUUGUUUCAGCGUCGGAUUUGUACCUUGUUUACGAGGUUACUCCUAUUCACAUGAAGCGUGUGUAUUGACGCUUUUUUGUGGCUCUUAUAUUGUCCAAGCUUGUUCAGGUAUGUAUGGUCGACCUUUGUUCCAUAAUACUGAAGUUUCGCCACUAGGAAGUGCCGCUAAUGGACGUCUGCAGUACGUUCAAGGUGCCGAGGGGCACCGUGCAAGCUCUUCGAUUGUUUUACCUUUGUUUUAUGUUUUCACAGGCUGCACGAGCUAGAUGUUUAUACAAAGCGGGCUUACGAACAGUUGAAGCUGUAGCUGAGGCUACAAUUCCUGAACUUGCAAACGCGCUGCGUGAUUCUUCAUUCAAAGAACAUGCAGGUUGGCUUCUCUUAUAUGCUUUUACUGGCAAGCUUUUUGUAAUAGAUGCUGGUAAGCAGCAGUGGAUGUACGCUGCAGCGGCAAAGAAAAUAAGAAACGGAGCAAGGAGAAUUGUCCUGGAUCGAGCAGAAGAGGUGCGAAUAGCUGCUUUCUCGGCAUUUCAAGCUCUUGGAGCAACGAUUCCGCAUUCGCUGUCACAGUCUUUAUAUGCCAGUGUUGAGAGGCCUCAGGCUGAGACAGACGAGAUUGCCAUAUCUCCAAAGCGAGACGAGGGCAAGGCCGACGUUCAUAGCACUGACAGUUGGAUUGGAUGACAGCAAGAAAAUGGUAACCAUGGCUCCAAUGCGUUUGGAGGCUUGCAGAAAAGAAGGCCAAGGACCCAAUCUUGCUGCUGUGACAUCUUAGAUCUGGAAACAAGGUUUUGAUACAUGCCCAAGCCAAUAAGACUGCUUCGCGAUUUCAGGACCAGUGGAAAAUUCUUGUUGUGAACAUCAUCUUUAAUUCAAAAAACUGCUACUUUGAUCUAAUACUAUUAAUAAAUUUUGAAAAUACCACUCCAUCUAGCUUUCUCCAAUUCAAUCUUCCAGAGCAUCAUGGAUUCCUCCUUUCGCUUAUCUUCUUCGGCCUGGAGAUCCUGUUCAAGCUCGAGAGCAAAACAAAUGUCCCCCUCCAUUGCCUCUGCCUGCUCCUCCUGAGAAUCCCCCUCAAGCACAAGAUCCUCAUUGUCCACAUUCUUUUGGAGGAUUUGGCUCGUUUCCCCAUUGCCAAUUUGAAUUUCUGCAAAGCGCUCCUUGUGUUCUGGCCGCUCCAAAACCUCCUCAAGCACGAGAUGUAGCAUCUCCUCAUCAUCCACAUCCUCGAGAUUUGACGACAGAAUUUCAGUCAUCACUUCGUCACUCACUACAAUUUCUGCCACCUCAGGGAACACAAGAGGGAUGUGUUCCUCCUCGUUUGGGACUUCAUUCUCCUCGACCAGUGCCAUGAUUCUAGCCAGGUCAUCUAUGUCAAACUCUUCCUUGUCCUCCACCCUGAUCACCGCCCCAGCUUUAUCGGCCUGUUGACCACUCUGCUUCGCUUGACUUUCGUGGACCAGCAAACCCUUCUUCGUCUCAUCUUCAACUGGAGCGCGCUUGAGCUUCUUCUUCUCAUGUGCCAUGCCAACUUCCUCACUACUGCUCGAUCUUGGCCGCUUCAUGUAAGUUGGUCUUGUUUUUCCGCCAUAAGUGAAUUUUUUAUUGCACUGACUGCAGCGAUACCUUGGCUGGCCAAUGUUGUCAUUGUUGAAGUAGUCGAAGUUGCCGCACUCACCACGAUUGCACUUCAUACAGGUCGGGUGCUGCUGUUUCAAGUACGAUUUCAACUCAUCCACGCUUCCAAACUGGAGGCUACUCUGCUGGCAGGACGAAGACCAAAAUAGUGGGUAGUUCUGGAGAAGAUGGAGCUCCUUGUACACCUUGCUGCUUUUGUUUGGCAUCGCUGCUGGCUUCUCUGCUGACAGGACAACAAGUGAAAACCUAAAAUAUGUCCUUUUUUACAAGCUUAAGGGAUGAAAUGUGUGUUUAAAGUUUUGGGUAAAGGGAGUUUUAUUAAACAUCUUUUAAUUUCCACCCGAUUCCUUUUGUUGCAGCUUUUAGACGACGGUGCGACCUUCUCAGGCAUCCCAAAAUUUAGCGCAUGACUGUUGCGGAGUUUUUGGAACGGAGUGGAGGCUCCACACUUGUUGAUGUAAGCUGGUGCCCCAGAAGGAGGCUUUCUUCAAGGUCCUUAAUUCUUCCACCUAGAUUUUCUUCUUUUUCAUGUUGCAGGCUGUCGGAAAUAUGUAUCAACAGCUGUCUGAGGAACUUAGCUGGAUCAAGGUUGAAAAGGAGUUGCUUCAUCAGAGCUGCGACAGAUCCAAGCAGGAGGUAAAUCGAAGCUGGUUAAGGCAGACUUUCCUUUUGUGAUUCAGUUUAAAACACUUGACUUGAGAGCAGGACUGACUUGAAAGAUGGCUUACCAGCCGGGACCUGCAAAUACAUGCUGCGCAGGUGCAAACUUUGUCAUCGAGCAGGCAAUGAAAUGACAAGCUUUACAAGCAUGACGGUAGUCUCCUCAUUUCGUGAGUGCAAAUGCUUUUAUUUUUUGUUGUUCUCCCCAUACAAGGCCCGAUUUCAAGCUAAAAUCCCAAGCAAUUCUAAUCUUAGCCUUGAUCGUGUCACAAUGGUCUCCUCCACACAGGAAAUCACCAAUAAUAUUUUCCUCUUUAGAACAUGAUGCCAAGCUAAAUCGAUGGAUCCCGGACGGCAUGAUAGACAGGACCAAGAAGAGCAUGACCCAUGCGUGCACCUAGAGGAAGAGGUCAAUGGAUCCUUCAAUCUGGUCGGAGCUCAUCAACUCCCAAUCCCCAUGCUCUGCCGCUUCGGGUCCCUCUCAAAUGAUUGGUAUAGCGCGCGACACACCUAGCUGCGUCGGGAACACCAUGUCGUAAGAAAGCUGCUUGGCUCAUGUACAGCGCUGAAAAAACAAAAACCAAGUGUGAAGAGCUUAGAAAACUUACAGUUGAGAACGCACGGCAAUGACUUGUCAAGACGUUGUCAAAACUCCUUCGAAGGUAGCACCUUGUCCAAGUACGUGUGUACAAACCAGAGCUGAGUUAGCUUCCAAAGAAGUCACACGAACCUGGUCAAGUAGCAAAUCGUGAAAGAGAAAAGUGGAUCAUCGGCAUGCAUGGGAGCUUUCAAAGUGGCCACCGUUCCUGCCAGGUUUGCGUCUCACCUCGCACCACUGCAACGACAAUGUAAAUAACUAAUCGAUGCAAACCUCUUCACUAUCUGCAUAUCGAGCAGCGCUAAGUCGAAAGAGAAAGAAAAAAGAAGAAAAACUCACUGCGAGCUGAGAUCAA
rnacentral:lncRNA from 1 species